rnacentral:misc_RNA from 1 species
AAUAAUAAUUAUCAUAAUCUUGAUUAUGGAAUUGGGCUUUUAUUUCAUUUUAAUGAUUUAUGGCCUUAAAUUUAUGUUACGCUUGUUUAAUGAAAUUCGACCGAAUGGAGCAAUUAAACAUUUCUCUCGUUAGGCGGAUUCAUCAAGCAAUUACGAUUUUUUGGCCGUCGAGGCACUUUUUUUUAGAAGUGCUUGGUCGAGAUUGUAAAAGAUACAUUUAA